rnacentral:rRNA from 1 species
CUCUCACCCUGCCCUUUCUCGAAGAGCGAGGGUGCGGUGAGGGACGGGGGAAGUGGCGAAAGGGGCAGUAAUGCGUGGGUAACCUACCCUGGGGACGGGGACAGCCUUCCUAACGGAAGGGUAAUACCUGGCGAUUCGGCGAGAGGACAUCCUCAUGCCGGGAAAUGAAUUUCGCCUCGGGAGGGGCUCACGUGAUAUUAGCUAGUUGGUGAGGUAACGGCUCACCAAGGCGAAGAUGUCUAGCGGGUGUGAGAGCACGACCCGCGCCACUGGCACUGAGACACUGGCCAGACACCUACGGGUGGCUGCAGUCGAGGAUCUUUGGCAAUGGGCGCAAGCCUGACCAAGCGACGCCGAGUGUGCGAUGAAGGCCUUCGGGUUGUAAAGCACUGUCGAGGGGGAGGAAGCCGCAAGGUUGACCUAUCCCUGGAGGAAGCACGGGCUAAGUUCGUGCCAGCAGCCGCGGUAAGACGAACCGUGCGAACGUUGUUCGGAAU